rnacentral:rRNA from 1 species
CUACGGGACGCAGCAGCCGAGAAUCUUCCACAAUGGACUUAUGGUCUGACGGAGCGACGCCGCGUGGAGGAAUGAAGCCCUGUGGGGUGUAAACUUCUGUCGAAUGGGAGCAAUCAAAGAGAGAGUACCAUUCUAAUAGAGGCUGCUAACUUCGUGCCAGCAGCAGCGGUAAUACGAAGGCCUCAAGCGUUAUCCGGAUUUAUUGGGCGUAAAGCGUCCGCAGGCGGACUGGUAAGUUACUUCUCAAAUCCUCGUGCUCAACAUGAGAUCGGGGAGUAAAACUAUCAGUCUAGAGUAUGUUAGAGGUAAGCGGAACUCAUGGUGUAGCAGUGAAAUGCGUUGAUAUCAUGGGGAACACCAAAGGCGAAGGCAGCUUACUGGGACAUUACUGACGCUCAGGGACGAAAGUGUAGGUAUCGAAGCGGAUUAGAUACCCUCGUAGUC